rnacentral:misc_RNA from 1 species
AAGUCGUAACAAGGUUUCCGUAGGUGAACCUGCGGAAGGAUCAUUAUUGAAUCCAAAGGGAUGUUGCUGGCUGUCCAGGCCGUGCACUCCUGCCUUUAUAUCCACCUGUGCACUUACUGUAGACUAGGAUUGAUUUCCGAGUCUAUGUCUUCAUAUACCCUUUAUUAUUAAAGUCAAUGGGAUGUAUUUAGGCUUCGGCCAAAAAAAUCAAUACAAA